GUCCGUGGUGGGCGAUGUGUGGGGAUCACAAUGAUCCGCCGGUCAGUCCCAGAGUUGUCCGGUACGCCAACCCGCAUCGCCCGCCGCCUGU
rfam:Bacterium AM6 strain AM6 2017-02-03-Sterotrophomonas_trimmed_contig_108, whole genome shotgun sequence.